rnacentral:rRNA from 1 species
GUGCCAGCAGCCGCGGUAAUACGUAGGGUGCGAGCGUUGUCCGGAAUUACUGGGCGUAAAGGGCUCGUAGGUGGUUUGUCGCGUCGUCUGUGAAAUUCCGGGGCUUAACUCCGGGCGUGCAGGCGAUACGGGCAUAACUUGAGUACUGUAGGGGUAACUGGAAUUCCUGGUGUAGCGGUGAAAUGCGCAGAUAUCAGGAGGAACACCGAUGGCGAAGGCAGGUUACUGGGCAGUUACUGACGCUGAGGAGCGAAAGCAUGGGUAGCGAACAGGAUUAGAUACCCUGGUAGUCCAUGCCGUAAACGGUGGGCGCUAGGUGUGAGGGUCUUUUCACGACUUUCGUGCCGUAGCUAACGCAUUAAGCGCCCCGCCUGGGGAGUACGGCCGCAAGGCUAAAACUCAAAGGAAUUGACGGGGGCCCGCACAAGCGGCGGAGCAUGUGGAUUAAUUCGAUGCAACGCGAAGAACCUUACCUGGGCUUGACAUAUGUGGGAUUGCGGCAGAGAUGUUGUCUCCCUUGUGGCUCACAUACAGGUGGUGCAUGGUUGUCGUCAGCUCGUGUCGUGAGAUGUUGGGUUAAGUCCCGCAACGAGCGCAACCCUUGUCUUAUGUUGCCAGCACGUUGUGGUGGGGACUCGUGAGAGACUGCCGGGGUUAACUCGGAGGAAGGUGGGGAUGACGUCAAAUCAUCAUGCCCCUUAUGUCCAGGGCUUCACACAUGCUACAAUGGUCGGUACAACGCGUUUGCGAGCCUGUGAGGGUGAGCUAAUCGCUGAAAGCCGGUCGUAGUUCGGAUUGGGGUCUGCAACUCGACCCCAUGAAGUCGGAGUCGCUAGUAAUCGCAGAUCAGCAACGCUGCGGUGAAUACGUUCCCGGGCCUUGUACACACCGCCCGUCACGUCAUGAAAGUUGGUAACACCCGAAGCCAGUGGCCUGUUAAAGGGAGCUGUCGAAGGUGGGAUCGGCGAUUGGGACGAAGUCGUAACAAGGUA